AACGAACGCUGGCGGCAUGCCUAACACAUGCAAGUCGAACGAGACCUUCGGGUCUAGUGGCGCACGGGUGCGUAACGCGUGGGAAUCUGCCCUUGGGUUCGGGAUAACAGUUGAAACGACUGCUAAUACCGGAUGCCGUCUUCGGACCAAAGAUUUAUCGCCCAGGGAUGAGCCCGCGUCGGAUUAGCUAGUUGGUAGGGUAAAAGCCUACCAAGGCGACGAUCCGUAGCUGGUCUGAGAGGAUGAUCAGCCACACUGGGACUGAGACACGGCCCAGACUACUACGGGAGGCAGCAGUGGUGAAUAUUGGACAAUGGGCGAAAGCGUGAUCCGGCAAUGCGGCGUGAGUGAUGAAGGCCUUAGGGUUGUAAAGCUCUUUUACCCGGGAUGAUAAUGACAGUACCGGGAGAAUAAGCCCCGGCUAACUCCUUGCCAGCAGCCGCCGUAA
rnacentral:rRNA from 1 species